UACGUAGGGUGCGAGCGUUAAUCGGAAUUACUGGGCGUAAAGCGUGCGCAGGCGGUUCCAUAAGACAGAUGUGAAAUCCCCGGGCUUAACCUGGGAACUGCGUUUGUGACUGUGGGACUUGGGUGUGGCAGAGGGGGGUGGAAUUCCACGUGUAGCAGUGAAAUGCGUAGAUAUGUGGAGGAAUACCGAUGGCGAAGGCAGCCCCCUGGGAUAACACUGACGCUCAUGCACGAAAGCGUGGGGAGCAAACAGGAUUAGAAACCCCUGUAGU
rnacentral:rRNA from 1 species